rnacentral:tRNA from 1 species
GAGGGUCUAGCUCAGUGGUAGAGUGCCUGCUUAGCAUGCAUGAGGUCCUGGGUUCAAUCCUCAGUACUUCCA